AAAAGACUUGGUGUUUUCUGUGGCAGUGGUAUCAUGGGAGAACUCUAGCAUUAACGUUAGUGGUCGUCAACGUUUUCAAAAACAAGCAACAAGCAUUUUCAGUUGAUUCUUUGAAUUACACCUCAAACACAGAAAAACUGAAUAUGAUCUACAUUGAUGAGACAGAACCGGACGAAAAUGAGUCAGAGACGUCUUUUGAAGCUAGGAAUAUCUCAGUUAAAAAAGAC